UACGAAGGGGGCUAGCGUUGCUCGGAAUCACUGGGCGUAAAGGGUGCGUAGGCGGGUCUUUUAAGUCAGGGGUGAAAUCCUGGAGCUCAACUCCAGAACUGCCUUUGAUACUGAAGAUCUUGAGUUCGGGAGAGGUGAGUGGAACUGCGAGUGUAGAGGUGAAUUCGUAGAUAUUCGCAAGAACACCAGUGGCGAAGGCGGCUCACUGGCCCGAUACUGACGCUGAGGCACGAAAGCGUGGGGAGCAAACAGGG
rnacentral:rRNA from 1 species